rnacentral:rRNA from 1 species
GCCGCGUGUGUGAAGAAGGCUUUCGGGUUGUAAAGCACUUUCAGCGAGGAAGAAAGCCUCUGGGUUAAUACCCCAGAGGAAGGACAUCACUCGCAGAAGAAGCACCGGCUAACUCCGUGCCAGCAGCCGCGGUAAUACGGAGGGUGCGAGCGUUAAUCGGAAUUACUGGGCGUAAAGCGCGCGUAGGUGGCUUGGCACGCCGGUUGUGAAAGCCCCGGGCUCAACCUGGGAACGGCAUCCGGAACGGCCAGGCUAGAGUGCAGGAGAGGAAGGUAGAAUUCCCGGUGUAGCGGUGAAAUGCGUAGAGAUCGGGAGGAAUACCAGUGGCGAAGGCGGCCUUCUGGCCUGACACUGACACUGAGGUGCGAAAGCGUGGGUAGCAAACAGGAUUAGAUACCCUGGUAGUCCACGCCGUAAACGAUGUCGACUAGCCGUUGGGACCUUUAAGGACUUAGUGGCGCAGUUAACGCGAUAAGUCGACCGCCUGGGGAGUACGGCCGCAAGGUUAAAACUCAAAUGAAUUGACGGGGGCCCGCACAAGCGGUGGAGCAUGUGGUUUAAUUCGAUGCAACGCGAAGAACCUUACCUACCCUUGACAUCCAGAGAAGUUGGCAGAGAUGCCUUCGUGCCUUC